rnacentral:lncRNA from 1 species
CAGAUGUCACCUGUGGGACCUGGAAAGCAGGGAGGGGGAGUGGGGUAGGUCAAAGCUCUGUGUGGUGCUGCAUGAGGAAAGACAAGAUUUUGCAUUUGUCCCCUUCUCACUGAAUCUCUGGUAAAUCAUGUCCUUGCCUGCUGGUAUAAUCAGUGAUUACAUGCCAUUUCCCUGUUGCAUUAAAGCUGCUUUCUUAAUUAAUAUCAUUUUAAAGGGCGGGCUUUGCACAAAGGAGACAAACUGUUUUGAGCUCCAGUAAACACUGUUUGUAUGUGAUCAUCCUAAGCAGCUCCAGCAGCCUUUCUAUGGUGAGCAGGCAGAAAGCACCACGAUGUAAUAAUGAACUGUGUUUUAACCACCUGAUGCUGGUCAAAGCUUUGAUCUAUGAGGUUUAAGGCUGGGUGGAGGAAGGGAAGCAGAGUACUCUGCCACGCUCCCCAGUACCACCGAAACUGUUAAUCAGCCUGCUCUGCAGUCUGCUGCAGUUUGCUUUAUUAAAGCUCCCUGCUGCCUGCACACGUUCACUGGCACAGACAUCGAGAGACAAGCAAACACUUUCCCGAGUGCAGAGUGCUCUGCUGCAUUGCAGAGUUUACUGGCAGAAAGUGAUGGGGCAAUAGCAGUGUUUAAAAUCUUACAACUUGAAGUUUAUGGAGGAGACUGAUGGAGGAAGGGAUGGAAGAACUGCCAUUGCUGCUGAUUGUCACUUCAAAUUCUUGGGGGAAGAGUCUUAUGAAAGUGAAUGGGAAUUGAUCAUCUCUCUACAGACUUCUUGAGUCAUCUCACAGAAUUUAACAGAAAAUAAUUAUUUCACUUCAAUGUGGCUUAAAAGUGCUUGAAGAUUGAAGAUGUGCUAAUUUCCACAAUCUAAUUUAUCAGCUGGGAUAAGUUAACUCUUUGGAUUCUGUGCAAUUCUGUAUGUGUACCAUCUCUAAAUAGGUAGAUUUUCAUAUGUGUAUUUGCACUGCUUUAGUAGUUCCAUCUCUGGGGCUUUCACAAAAAGAUAACAGCCAUUUUUACAUUUGCUUGAGGCUCUACUGAAGGGUUUAUCCCCAUGUAAAUUUUCCAGCCCAG